UGGAGGUAAUGAACUGGCUUAGCCUGACUUUGUAGAGUGGAGGCAAAAAAAAAAAAAAAACUGAUUUAAUGAGCCUGAUCC